GAGGGUAUAGCUCAGAGGUAGAGUGUAGUGCUUAGCGUGCAUGAGGUCCUGGGUUCAAUCCCCAGUGCCUCCA
rfam:Camelus ferus isolate Naran unplaced genomic scaffold scaffold29872, whole genome shotgun sequence.